AGUGAACGCUGGCGGUAGGCCUAACACAUGCAAGUCGAACGGCAGCACAGUAAGAGCUUGCUCUUACGGGUGGCGAGUGGCGGACGGGUGAGGAAUACAUCGGAAUCUACUUUUUCGUGGGGGAUAACGUAGGGAAACUUACGCUAAUACCGCAUACGACCUACGGGUGAAAGCAGGGGAUCUUCGGACCUUGCGCGAUUGAAUGAGCAGAUGUCGGAUUAGCUAGUUGGCGGGGUAAAGGCCCACCAAGGCGACGAUCCGUAGCUGGUCUGAGAGGAUGAUCAGCCACACUGGAACUAAGACACGGUCCAGACUCCUACGGGAGGCAGCAGUGGGGAAUAUUGGACAAUGGGCGCAAGCCUGAUCCAGCCAUACCGCGUGGGUGAAGAAGGCCUUCGGGUUGUAAAGCCCUUUUGUUGGGAAAGAAAAGCAGCAGGUUAAUACCCCGCUGUUCUGACGGUACCCAAAGAAUAAGCACCGGCUAACUUCGUG
rnacentral:rRNA from 1 species